UACGUAGGGUGCUAGCGUUGUCCGGAUUUAUUGGGCGUAAAGAGCUCGUAGGCGGUUUGUCGCGUCUGCCGUGAAAGUCCGGGGCUCAACUCCGGAUCUGCGGUGGGUACGGGCAGACUAGAGUGAUGUAGGGGAGACUGGAAUUCCUGGUGUAGCGGUAAAAUGCGCAGAUAUCAGGAGGAACACCGAUGGCGAAGGCAGGUCUCUGGGCAUUAACUGACGCUGAGGAGCGAAAGCAUGGGGAGCGAACAGG
rnacentral:rRNA from 1 species